AUACAGAUGGAACUCAGGCCGGGAAGAAACAGCAAACACCAAAGCAGUGUGCCAGGAGCCCUCGGAGUGCAAGGCGGGGCUGUACCGAGAGGAACGGGAACACUGCUUGGUCCUCUGCACUUUCCUAGCUACAGACAUGACUGGAUGCAGCUUGGCCUUCACUCGAAUUCCUACAACAGGACAGAUGAACCUUUCCCAAGGCAAAAGGAGUAAGUCAUUAAAAGCCCUGGCUCAGGGAUCAUCUUGCUGAUCGAUACAUCCUCUUGGGUAGAGGAUAGUUGUCUCCUCUCAUCUCCCUGACCUACGGGACACCAUCUCGGGAAAUCCACACGGUGCCCGCUGUGUAGCUUUGGUGGGACCGUGUCACUUGCUGGACACUCGUGGUGGAUUAUAAAGCGGGUCGAGAACAGCAUGGAGGAGGGCCAUGUUUGUGAGGGAGAGGAGAUCCCACCAAAUAUCUAGGUGACGUUCAUGCUCUUGUGUGCACAGAAGACAGGCAUCUAAAGGGAACCAAGCCAGCUCAAGCCCUCUGGCAACCUCUGGGCAGUAGUGCGGAGAGGGUUCCCACUUUCUGUGUUACGCAUACCUGCUGUUUGCACUGUUUGACUUACUGGAUAAGCGAUACAUUUACAUGUUUGAAAAGUUAAAGAGAGGGCCGGGGUACAGCUCAGUGCUAGAGCACUGGCCUAGCGUGAGUUUGGUCCUGGUUCAUUCUCUACCCCGGAAGAAAAACUGUGUGUGACGGCUGUGUGUGUGUGUACACGCUGUACAUGUGCUGUGUGUAUGUGUGCUGUGUUAAGUACGUGGUCUGUGUAUGCUGUCUAUGUGCAUGAAUGUUGUGUGUGUGUGAGAGUGUGUAUGUGUGUGUGCAUGCAUGUGUGUAUGUGCUCUGUGUGUGUGCAUGUGAGUGUAUGUGCUCUGUGUGUGUGCAUGCAUGCAUGCAUGCAGAUGCCAGAACUUGAAGAUACUGGUGCCCUGCUUCAUUUCCCUCUACCUAUUCCCUUGAGAGCAGAUCUCUCAUUGACUUUAGAGAUAAGGAAGUGGACAGCAAGCCCCGCUGAUCGCCCUGCUUCCAUCCCCUUAGUGCACACCAGCCGGCCCAGACUUGCCUAUAGCCGGGAUCUGAGCUUAGGUGCUCACGCAUGGGGGACAUGCACUUUUACCCACUGAGCUAGCUCUCUAACCCCUCUGCCACCAACUCAAUAAAAUCAAUAAUAAGGACAGAAUAAAAAGUACCCUCCUGUGCUGGCUAGUUUUAUGUCAACUUGACACAACUGACAUAGUCAUCUAAGGAAAGGGAACCUCAAUUGAGAAGAUGCCUCCAGAAGUCCGGGCAGCAGGCAAGCUGCAGGAGAUUUGCUUAGUGAUUGAUGUGGGAGGGAGGGCCCAACCUAUUGUGGGUGGGGCCACCCUCAGGCUGGUAGUCCUGCAUUCUCCUAUAAGGAGAAUGAGCAAGACCUGGGGAGCAAGUGAGUAAGCAUCUAUGUAUGCUUACCCCUCCAUGGCCUCCGCGUCAGCUCCUGCCUCCAGGUUCCUGCCCUGUUUGAGUUUCAGUCCUGACUUCCUUGGAUGACGACAGUGGACUGGGAGUAGAGGUUAAAUAAACGCUUUCCUCCCUAAGCUGCUCUGGCCAUGGUUUCAUCACAGCAGUAGUGACCCUAAGUAAGACACAGCCUCAUACCAUCCUCCCAGCUUGAAGCCUCUAGAGAGCCACUGAUAAGCAGUUUUCUUUACCUCAUAUUUUAGCAAAUGUGUGUACAUUUGUAUUCCUCUUGGGCUUUGUGUCCCCUCUGUACAGGAGUGAAACCCACCCUGUACAGGAGUGAAACCCACCCAACCCGGUUGUUUUUGUCCUUGUUUUAUGGUGGGGGAAUGCAGGAUCGGGGUCACUCUGUGAUGGGGACUGUGAUGUGCCUCAGUGCAGGCUUCUUCGUGGUUCUCCCCUGGAGGUUUGCUAAGCUUCUUGGAUCUGUGUUUCUAGUUUUUAGCUAACUUGAGCAAGUUUCAGCCACGACCCAAAUAUUCAUCUGUGUUCCCUCCACUCCUUCGGUAACUCCAAGUAUAAUAUAUUACACAAUACAUAACAAUCAUCAUGGGCUUGUGUUUCAUUCGCAACGACCCUAGUGCCUCUACGCUGUAGUCACUCUCGCUUUGCAGGAGUGGGAACUGAGGCCAGGGAGGCGGAGCCCAUGGUCCUCAGGUGGGGGAUGUUUGAUGAUUUGUACCCCAAGCUUCCCUGCGGCCGUAUGUUCUCAGCAGUGACAGCCAGGGACUUACUUUAGUGCCUCCUCCUCCUGUAGGGCUGGGUUACGGAAGGGCUGGUCGUACACCUUCUGGUAGAGCUUGGGCAGCUCAAGCAUCCUUGCGAUUUGCAUGUUCCACACUGGAUCGUCCACCUUAUCUAACAACCCAGGAAAGAGAGGCCACAGGAGUAACCCCGAGAGAACGUCUUCCCACGUCCAAACUACCACUAGGACAAUAGUCUAGAGUCACAGAACAGCUCCAGCCAUCCCCUGAGAGAGAAGGCAAGGCCCUAUAUGUGACAGACACAUCUAGGGUAGGGACAGGCCUGUCACUAGCAAUCUGUAUGUUAUGCCGAUGGACUACUGGGACAGCCUUGUAAUUUAUAUAUGUACUUAUUGACAGGGUCUCCCUAUGAGCCCUGGCUGGCCUAUAACUCAUUAUGUAGACCAGGCUGGCCUUGAAUGCAGGAAGAUCUGUCUGACUCUGUCUUCUGGGUUCUGAAAUUAAAGGCAUGUACCACC
ensembl:antisense Gm19557 predicted gene, 19557